ACGGAGGGUGCAAGCGUUAUUCGGAAUCAUUGGGUGUAAAGCGCGUGUAGGCGGCUUGGAAAGUCAGAUGUGAAAGCUUCGGGCUUAACCCGGAAAGUGCAUUUGAAACUCCCUAGCUUGAGUCCCGGAGAGGAAGGUGGAAUUCCCAGUGUAGAGGUGAAAUUCGGUGAUACUGGGAGGAACACCGGUGGCGAAGGCGACCUUCUGGAAGGUGUCUGACGCUGAGACGCGAAAGCGUGGGGAGCAAACAG
rnacentral:rRNA from 1 species